CGCUUUCACUCCUACGGGAGGCAGCAGUGGGGAAUAUUGCACAAUGGGGGAAACCCUGAUGCAGCCAUGCCGCGUGUGUGAAGAAGGCCUUCGGGUUGUAAAGCACUUUCAGUAGGGAGAAGGUAGUGUAGUUAACACCUGCAUUAUUUGACGUUACCUACAGAAGAAGCACCGGCUAACUCCGUGCCAGCAGCCGCGGUAAUACGGAGGGUGCGAGCGUUAAUCGGAAUUACUGGGCGUAAAGCGCAUGCAGGCGGCCUGUUAAGUCAGAUGUGAAAGCCCGGGGCUCAACCUCGGAAUAGCAUUUGAAACUGGCACACUAGAGUACUGUAGAGGGGGUAGAAUUUCAGGUGUAGCGGUGAAAUGCGUAGAGAUCUGAAGGAAUACCAGUGGCGAAGGCGGCCCCCUGGACAGAUACUGACACUCAGAUGCGAAAGCGUGGGGAGCAAACAGGAUUAGAUACCCUGGUAG
rnacentral:rRNA from 1 species